rnacentral:lncRNA from 1 species
AUCACCUGUUGGGUCUACAGAAGUAUCACCCACUCCAAUAGCGCAGCCACCACCUAAGCCAGGAUGUGAAGAAUGGGUCUAUGUGAGUGAACCGAUACCAGAGGAAGUACGUGCAUUUUUAAUACCUUACUGGCAAUUAAUAGAGAAUUCAUACAUAAACACCAUCAAAACAGCCCUCAGGAAUCUGAGAGAAGAUCAGCACACCCUCCUCGCUUACCUAUAUGAAACUAGGUGAGUAAAGUCUUCUAAGUCAGAAUGUUAUAACUAGAUAUGACACACAGGAGCCAUCUAUCUCAUUCUCAUGUCUUGUAGAACAAGUUUCAAGCAGCUUCUAAAACAACCAGAUUACAA